rnacentral:rRNA from 1 species
UUUNAAGUAGCUUAAAACCAGAGCA